rnacentral:rRNA from 1 species
UACAGAGGUCUCAAGCGUUGUUCGGAAUUACUGGGCGUAAAGGGCUCGUAGGCGGCCAACUAAGUCGGACGUGAAAUCCCUCGGCUUAACCGGGGAACUGCGUCCGAUACUGGAUGGCUUGAGUUCGGGAGAGGGAUGCGGAAUUCCAGGUGUAGCGGUGAAAUGCGUAGAUAUCUGGAGGAACACCGGUGGCGAAGGCGGGUCUCUGGGCCGAUACUGACGCUGAGGAGCGAAAGCGUGGGGAGCGAACAGG